rnacentral:rRNA from 1 species
UAGAGGAAAAGAAAGUAAAAACGAUUCCCGUAGUAGUGGCGAACGAACUGGGAGGUAUUGUCUAAACCAUUUUUAGUAGGAAUGGGGUUAUAGGGUAAAAUAUUAAAAAAAGAACAAUGGUAGGUGAAAUCGUUGGAAAGCGAUACCCAAGAAAGUGAUAGUCUUGUAACCGAAAUCAAUUUCUUUGACUUGUUUAUUCCUGAGUAGUAUGGAACACGAGAAAUUCCGUAUGAAGUUACGAAGACCACUUCGUAAGACUAAAUAUUCCUAGAUAUCCGAUAGCGAAAUAGUACCGUGAGGGAAUGGUGAAAAAGAACCCCGGGAGGGGAUUGAAAAAGAACGUGAAAUUGCAAGCUUACAAACAGAAGAAACUGCUUUUUUAGCAGUAUUUCUUCGUGCCUGUUGAAGAAUGUUCCGGCGAGUUAUAGUUAGUGGCGGGUUAAAAUAGAGAUAUUGGAGCCAUAGUGAAAGCGAGCUUGAAUAGAGCGAAAGUCACUAAUUAUAGACCCGAACCCGCUUGAUCUAACCAUGUCCAGGGUGAAACUUAGGUGACACUAAGGGGAGGCCCGAACCGACUAAUGUUGAAAAAUUAGCGGAUGAGGUGUGGUUAGGGGUGAAAUGCCAAUCGAAAGCGGAGCUAGCUGGUUCUCCCCGAAAUGUAUUGAGGUGCAGCGGUUAAUCUUUUAGCAUAGGGGUAAAGCACUGUUUUAAACGGGGCCACAACAACUGGUACCUUAUUGAGGCAAACUCUGAAUACUAUGUGUACAAUUAACCAGUAAGACUAUGAGGGAUAAGCUUCAUUGUCAAGAGGGAAACAGCCCAGAUCACCAGUUAAGGCCCCUAAAUGAUUACUAAGUGAAAAAGGAAGUGAAAAGGCUAAAACAACCAGGAGGUUCGCUUAGAAGCAGCAAUCCUUUAAAAAGUGCGUAAUAGCUUACUGGUCUAGCAGUUUUGCGCCGAAAAUUUUUGGGACUAAGUAAUUUGCCGAAGCUGUGAGAUAUAAGCAAUUAUAUCGGUAGGGGAGCGUUCCACAGUAGAAUGAAGUAAACACGAAAGUGUUUAUGGACGAACUGGAAGUGAGAAUGUCGGAUUGAGUAGCGAAAACAAUGGUGAGAAUCCAUUGCUCCGAAACCCUAAGGUUUCCUCUGGAAGGCUCGUCCGCAGAGGGUUAGUCAGGUUCUAAGAUGAGGCUGAAAAGCGUAGUUGAUGGAUAAUGGGUUAAUAUUCCCAUACUAAUACCUAUCGUUUUUUCUUUUCUGUUGUUAGAAAAAAUCGAAAGAAAAAUGACGAAGAAGGCUAAGUUAGCCAAUGAAUGGUUUUUGGUUUAAGCUAUUAAGAUUGAUAUUCAAGAUUCACUAGUUCCUUAUGGUUCAAGGAAGCUUAAAAAUUGUCAGUUGAAAUACCAAUACAAGAUUUUAAAAAUCAAAGUAACUAAUGUCAUACUUCCAAGAAAAGUUUUUCUUUUGAAAAGAUAGCGAAUUAUCUGUACCAGAAACCGACACAGGUGGGGAAGUAGAGAAUACUAAGGAGCGCGAGAGAACCCUCCUUAAGGAACUCGGCAAAAUAGCUCUGUAACUUCGGAAGAAAGAGCGCCCAUUGGGCUGAAAUAUCAAGUUCCAAGCAACUGUUUAACAAAAACACAGGUCUCCGCUAAGUUGUAAAACGACGUAUGGGGGCUGACGCCUGCCCAGUGCCGGAAGGUUAAAAAAGUGAGUCAAGAGUUUUCUGAAGCUUAUGAUUGAAGCCCCGGUGAACGGCGGCCGUAACUAUAACGGUCCUAAGGUAGCGAAAUUCCUUGUCGGGUAAG